GGAGGAUAGGCAAAUGUUGGUUUGUUGCGGCAUCCUGCUAAGAUGUUCCGGUGAUACCGGUGAGGGUUCGAUUCCCUUGUCCUCCG
rnacentral:tRNA from 1 species